CAGUAGCCGCGGUAACACAGAGGGUGCAAGCGUUAAUCGGAAUUACUGGGCGUAAAGCGCGCGUAGGUGGUUUGUUAAGUUGGAUGUGAAAGCCCCGGGCUCAACCUGGGAACUGCAUCCAAAACUGGCAAGCUAGAGUACGGUAGAGGGUGGUGGAAUUUCCUGUGUAGCGGUGAAAUGCGUAGAUAUAGGAAGGAACACCAGUGGCGAAGGCGACCACCUGGACUGAUACUGACACUGAGGUGCGAAAGCGUGGGGAGCAAACAGGAUUAGAUACCCCAGUAGUCCCUGUCUCUUAUAC
rnacentral:rRNA from 1 species